rnacentral:rRNA from 1 species
GACGAACGCUGGCGGCGUGCUUAACACAUGCAAGUCGAACGGAAAGGCCCUGCUUUUGUGGGGUGCUCGAGUGGCGAACGGGUGAGUAACACGUGAGUAACCUGCCCUUGACUUUGGGAUAACUUCAGGAAACUGGGGCUAAUACCGGAUAGGAGCUCCUGCUGCAUGGUGGGGGUUGGAAGGUUUCGGCGGUUGGGGAUGGACUCGCGGCUUAUCAGCUUGUUGGUGGGGUAGUGGCUUACCAAGGCUUUGCCGGGUAGCCGGCCUGAGAGGGUGACCGGCCACAUUAGGACUGGAAUACGACCCAGACUCCUACGGGAGGCAGCGGUGGGGAAUAUUGCACAAUGGGCGGAAGCCUGAUGCAGCAACGCCGCGUGCGGGAUGACGGCCUUCGGGUUGUAAACCGCUUUCGCCUGUGACGAGGCGUGAGUGACGGUAAUGGGUAAAGAAGCACCGGCUAACUACGUG